AACCCAUGAUGAAGGCACAUUCUCAAUAAAUCUUUGUAUCUCUCCUAUGCAUCAUAUAAUGUUUCUAAAUCAAUCUAGGCAAAUGAAGAAACGUCAUUCCUUAACUU
rfam:Gossypium arboreum cultivar AKA8401 contig_16327_5, whole genome shotgun sequence.